CCCAAACUCCUGCCCCGGGGCUAAAAGUCAAAGGAUCGCCGAGACCUGAUGUAACACUUGUGGGAUUCUCCCCUUUGAAACUUCAAACUCCAGUUUGUGAGCAAAGUCCUGUCUAUCUUCUGAAUAGGAAUCUCCGACCACUGACCAAACUCCAUUUGUAACCACUGCCUAUUUGUACCUUCUCCUCAAUGACUACAUUUCAUUUCCCCAUGUCUGAUCUGAAAGGCAGGCAGCAGCUGGAGGGGACGAGACGACCACGAGGGCCUGGAGGAACUGACAGGAGAAGGAAUAUUCACAGCCUGAGGAUGUAUUUUGUUUCUUUCCCAGAAGAACAGCACCGCAGUGGAAAUGUGUGCCUGUGAGGCCGAUCCAGCAGCGUGCUGAUGUUGAUAAGAGUAAAAUAGAAGGACACAAUGUGCUGCCUGCAGCAGAUUUAAGGCCAGCAGAGGAAGGCUGCUGCUGCAGAUGGAGGAGAUAGACACAAACAACCCAUCUGUCUGGCCUCCAAACAAGAAAACACCGCACGAGACCUCAUUACUGAACAAGGAAGCCAUAUUAUCUUUGCUCAAGGUCUCACGCAGACGACGAAACUUUUGCACUCUCUCUGAAUAAAGUCCAUCUUCUCUGAUUCGUAAAUGACUUUUUAUAACGUGAUCAUUGCAUAAGUGUCCAAUAAUCACCUCUUGUUAAAUCCUAAAGUGUUUGAAUAAUGUGUGCAUUAAUCAACGGUGUGUUAAAUUGAAUAUUUUUCUUCCAGUGAACCAUUUCAGAUCUUAAACUACACCAGAUGGAAAUUUGUUGAUUUAACAAGUUAAUCUAUCAGUAUACUCAUACACAUUAUAAUAAAAAGUAUUAUUAAUGUUUUACAUUUUUGCUUCACAUAACUGAUAUAACAUUUGCACUUCACACUAAGAGUUAACUUCUCUGAGUAUCUGAGUGAAGGCGUGAUUUCUGAGGUAUUUUGGUAAUGCCUUUUAAACGUCAGAUUCUGAAUUUACAGAAUUUAUGGUUAAUGGUAAAUGGUAAAUGGCCUGUAUUUGAUAUAGCGCCUUCUAGAGUCCUGGAACCCCCCCAAGGCACUUUACAACACAAUCAGUCAUUCACCCAUUCACACACUGGUGAUGAUGAACUACGAUGUAGCCACAGCUGCCCUGAGGCGCACUAACAGAGGCGAGGCUGCCGAGCACAGGCGCCACCCGUCCCUCCGACCACCACCAGCAGGCAAGGUGGGUUAAGUGUCUUGCCCAAGGACACAACGACAGCGACAGUCUGAGCGGGGCUCGAACCUGCAACCUACCGAUUACGGGGCGAGCACUUAACUCCUGUGCCACCGUCGCCCCAAUUUAUAAACAAAGUUGAUAAAAACAGGAAUUACUUCCUGAUCUAGUAAGUUCUCCUGCUGCGUCCUGGUUUGGCCGACCGGCGAGCAAGUAUUUGGAACCAUCCUAUCUUUUGACCUCAGUGUCAAAGCCUCUAUGCACCGCUUGCGAGUCAUUUCAGACACAACGGCUCUUUUGAGAGCCACCGAACAGCCUCAGACGCAAAAUAAGCACUCCAGCUUCCUGCCAUCACCUGGAGGCAUCUCAGACUAGACGGGUCGUAUCGGAGCUAUCUACGAGUUCUGUUGCGUGACGUCCACUCUACCAGCUGCGUCCAUCUUGACCUCUUGACGCCCUGGAUCGCCCGGGGACCGCCACACAAGGGUGCGUAGACUCGGCACAAAUUGCGUCGGAUGGUUUUAUAAACAAGUCCCUAGCUUAUCAAACCAUACAGCCAAACUGAUUUUACCACCCAGACUCCAGAAUCUCUCUCAGAUACUUAAGAAAGGUUUUGCUAAAACACCCAGCUCACAUUCCAUCAUUCCAUUCAUCAUCUGUGAUCUGUACAACCAUCAUUUCAUUCAUACUUUGUCAUGUACAAUCAUUUAGCUUAGGAAAAUAGAAUAAAAAUUAUUUUUAUAAACUACAUUCUUGACUCUGUCUGAAUUAAUAUGAAGUGUGUGUGUUCCCUGAAUAAGUCAAAGAACCUAAAGGGAUAUUCAUUUAAAUAUUCAAAGACCAAUCAGAUUGAUAUUUCAUAUUUAUAAGGGACAUCACAGCUUAUUGAUCAUUUAAUAAAUAAGUAGCCGAUCCUUAACGCUACACUGUAAACAGAGCGUGCACGAGGAUAACUGGGGGCUCUCUCCCAGGGCUGUUCUUUCCUGAAAUUCAGAAACAUUCUCCGCCAUAUUUUUUACAACAGAAACCGCUAAAACAAGUUAUAUUUUCUAAGAAAAACAAAUUUAUAACAGUUAUUUCUAAAUAUAUCAAUAUUUUUCUAAACAAACCAGUAUUGCUUUUAUCUCUGCAAUAAGCAAUCAUCUUUACAUAUAGCUUGAUUCCCGGUGUUGUUUUUAUUUCUUUAGGGCUCUUACUUUGGGUUUCACGACAUUUCCACCAGUAGAUACAGAAACAGAACAAAGAACAUAAUGACCCCGCCUGUUCAUGACUUCUACGCCCGCCUUCCUUUGGCCUGGGCAGUAUAACAGCCCAGACAAGGCUGAGGAGCAGCUUCUUUCCUGAGGUGAUGAGGCUUUUUGUUCACCACAGUAUGGUUGUUGAUCGGGGUUUUAUUUGUUUUAUAUUCCCUGAUGUCUCUGACGCGCUGAAUGAUAAUGAAUAAAUAACUAACUAUAGAAUUGUAUGUAAAUAACUGUGUUCAUAAAAUACUGAUAAUCUUUUAGAGAACAGCUUUUCAACUUCAGAACUAAUCUCUGUUUAUCCAAACUGAGAUGUUCAAACAAGAAACAUUUCUACAGGACGCCACAUGAGAAGAUGUGUGGUGGUGUUUACAGCCAGCAGUUUUAGUCAGACACUGCCCUCUCCUGGUCAAAUGGGUGUCUGCAGCCCUGCUGCAGGAAACGGUGUCCUGGUCAACAGCUGUACUGUGUUGCAUUCAAAGGGUAAUAAAGUGUUUGUACUGAUGUGGAAGCAAGCACACACACACACACACACACACAAACACACACACACACACACAGACACACACACACACACACACUUACUUGUAUUUAUAUGUUUGUGUGGAACUCCAUAGGCUUCCAUUCAUUUUAGUGACUAAACUAAACUAAACUGAACUGAACUAAAUGUUCAUUCACACCAUAAAUCUAUAACCAAGUUUUAGGGUGCAAGUAUGGACAGCAAAAUGUCCCCACUAUGCGGAAAUGUGUAGGUUAAAAUAAAAAAUCUGCCCACUUUAACAAAGACAAGUACACAUGUAUACACACACACACACACACACACACACACAGAUUUCUUGUAUUUCUCUUCUUUCAGAUCAAUUUACAGAUUUCAAAAGACGAAACAUGAACAAUGAUUAUUUAUCAGAAAGCUGAGCUCGUUUCCAAUGACCGGAUUACUGCCAGGCCUUUAGUUACAUCUUUGAUGCUUUUAUUAACAAUCAUGCUGGACUUAUCAUUCAGCUCACUGAAACAAAAACAACCUAUUAAACUAAACAAUUUGACAAACAAAAGCAACAGGAAGGAAAUUCAAUUUGAAGAUGAUUAAGAAUGAAACUAUGAUUGAUUUUUAAAGGUUGAAUAUGGAACAAUUAAAUAAAAUGCUUUUUUUUAUAUCUCCAAGUGGCAUUUAGAGGUGUGCAGAAUAAAGGUACAGUAUUUCCUUUAAAGAGGGGGGAAUUUGCUCCCAGCACACUCUAUAAAGCUGGUAAUACAACCCUUUUGCUGUUUUUUUAGCCAUUUAGAGGAGGAUAUUCAGCCUCAUUACCAUAAAGAAGCCUUAAUUAAACUUUAAUGUGUCAUUUUUGUCAUUUGGGGAUUAUUAUUAUUAUUAGGGAGGAGAAGAAUGAGGUGCAUGGGAGGAAGGAAGUGGAUUUAUUCAGUUCUUGUGAGGACACAGAAAGUUCCCGGCUAUCCACUUUGAACAGAAUCAUGUGGUAGCAGCUGUGUAACACCUUGGAUUCCUUGUAACAGCCAAUGCUGUAGUCUUUGGACUUAUCUUCUUCUUGUUACAUUCUCUUUUGCUGAGCGAAGUCUCUUUAAACUGAGGGUCAUCAGUGGCACAAGAACGCUUGAGUGACAACCCCUUUGGAUUACCAUGACCUUGAUGACUGAGAAACUUCAGCAGCACUCUGGUUUCCAACAUUUGGACAGAAAAGGAAGAUGGGGAGUUGCUGCCCUCCUAUGUCUGAAAGCGAGUACUACACUUUUUUGUUUUUGCCAUUUUGAAGAGAAUAUUUUAGCCUCCUUAUUUUAAUGACGCCUUAAAUAAAGGAGUAGAAGGAGAAAAAAGCUGAAUUUGUUAAGUUAAAAGAGUUACUCAGUAGAAACACUUCCUCUAGUUCUUCCAAACAAUAUGUUUUAUUGCCUUGAAAGACCAGCCAAUGUACGCCCUCCUCAGUAAAUAAAAACAGAACAACACUCUGGGGUCCUACAGCCUUCCAACCAUAGACAUGGGCCCAAUCCCAAUACCCGCACUGCGCCCUAUGGUCUUCUGUGAAGUGCACUUGGAGGAAGUGCGCAGUAAGGCUUCAAGUGCGUAGUACAAAAGUAUGCAAAUAAUUGCCGAAUUGGGACAGAGAGCAUUGUGUCAUCGACCGCAACGCAUGCCGGGAUUCUGUUCGCUGCGAUGCUUUUUUUAAAAAACCUUUAUUAACAACGUUCAAACAAACAACCAAACAAUUAUUUGAAAAAUUUUACAUUCAUUGCUGCUUUGUCUAAAAGUUUCAUCGCGUCAACUAAUCGUCCUAAAAUUAACUAAUUUCAUUAGAAAAUACAUAUUUUCAGAAAAGUAACUUGAGCCUUUUCUCCUGCAGCAAUGACUUGUGGGUAAUACCCUUGCCUGAGGUCCGCAUCGCUGCGGACUUGGGUGAAGUGCAGAUUAAGGAAGCAAUGGGGCGUGGUCAACUUCCGCACUUGAGAAUCGGGACACCCUACGCACUCGUACCCCUGGCUGGGAAGGCGCAAUUGAAGGGCGCAAGGGUGCAAGUGUGAGUAUUGAGAUUGGGCCAAUGUAACAGUGUCAGUGUCACCGCCGUUUUGGAUUGGUUUCUCACUCUCCAAACCUAACUGUAGUCAACGCAGAGACAGAAACUUUGCCCAUUCUUUUGUGCAGCCUAUGAUUGCAACAACUGGCACACUACUGAAAACAGAUCACAUGGGAUUACUAUUAACAUUUCAAACCUACGUGUUGGGAUUUUAUAUUUUUAUUUAAUUAUAUUUAGAUUGUAAUUAUGUGCCUUAUUAUGUGUCUGACUGUGAAAAAAGCAUAAAAAAUGUGUUGGGUAAACACCUUCCUCAGUAGAAAUAUAUGCAUUGGGGGCAAAUGGGGACCCAUCCAAGAUGGCUGCUCCACCAGCUCCAAUAGGCAGCGCUAGUUCACAUUGCAUAAGAUGUCUUUGACUCCAACACAUUGGCCCAAUCCCAAUACUCGUACUGCGCUCUACAGUCUGCUGUGAACUGCACUUGGAGGAAGUACGCAGUAAGGUUCAAAAGUACACAUGUAUGCUGAAUUGGAACAUUGUGUCAUCGACCACAAAUGCCGGUUGCUGUUUGUGCUACUUUUUUAAAAACCUUUAUUAACAACUUUGAAAUAAACAAAUAUUUGACUAUAUUUGCAUUCAUUGCUGUUCACAAUUAAAUCUUUGAUACAGUCAGAGCAUGAAUACAUAUCAUUAGUCAUCCAAACAUUACAGUUUUUUAACAAGCUCUCACCAACACAUCAGAUACUUCUAAACUCGUAACACAGAUUAAUUCCUACAAAACACAACUGGCCAAAUGGAAAAUUUUCGUCUCAAAAACACAUUUUGAUAAACAUAAACUAACUCUUCAUUUCAAAAUAGAACAUAUCUUUCUCUGCACACACUACCUUUACCCAAACACUGGACAUCUGACUCAAAGUGAAAUUAUUCGGUCAAAAAGUAGAACUUGUUUUCACUUCACAAGAUACAUUCAGUCAAUCAAAGUACACCAGGUUUCAAAAUACUGGCGAUUGUUGACAUUACAAAAACCGCAUAGAGUUUUAUGUUUCGGUUUUAGAGGUAAAACGUGCAAUCCACCAUUUUUAUGUCACACGGGCAAAGUCGGUGUUUAUUGUGUUUUUCCUUCCAGUGUGGUGUAUUUUUAGUGUGCGUUCUUUUUACUUAGUUUUAGAGCAUGGGAUGCUUUUAUUUAGGAGAACCCAGGAAACUGGGAGGAUAUGUGAUUUUAUUUUGACAAGCUUGGACAGAUGACAUCCGGACCGGGGCAAUUAUCUGCACCGGUGGCAGAUUAGGAGUGUCUUCGGCGGAGACGGCGGCAGAAAGCGGAGAGCCGCCGGGUGAAAGGACACCGAUUGUCUGUGACGAGGCUUCAUGGAGAUGUGGGCAGGGUAUUCCUCCGCCCUGACGUGUGAGUAGCGGCCUGUGACAAGGUGUGACCCGUGGUGUGCGAUCGAGCAGUGACUGCCGUUAAAAUUCACUGACAGGUGGACCCGCGACGGAGGAGGACGACGGCGUGGCGCGGUGGCGCGGCUGAGCCAGUGACUGAUCUGCAGGAGGAAGCAGGCGAUUGAGAGAAAUGGGGGUGUGGCAGACAAGCAUCCUGAAGGAGGAGGAACUGGCCCCGCAGCGUCCAGAUAAGGCUGCAGACUCUCACCGGGCCCAGUUCCGGCAACCGUUCUAGUGACUGGCCUAAGGUUUUUUUAGUGAUGUUUUAAUUAGUACUUUGAAUAAACCCUGGUGCUGUGGUUAACGGCUGAUUCCUUUGAUCUCUGGCGGUUGCUCUCAACUUUACCUGGUGUAACCCUUGGUUGGGAUUUGGUAUCCUGUAGAUAUAUAGUAUAGCCCACCUACCCGGUAGGAAGGUGCCACAUUUACACUACAUUUCUUGGUUGUGAACUGUAUGAUGUGCACAUUUGAAAGCAUUCCAGUAAAAAGCUAAUCCUGUUUUUCCAUUACUGUUUAUUUCAGGAGGUACAGCAGAAAUGAUGUUUACAGUAUGACAGAACAGAAAAGGGUCUACAGUAUUGCUUGUAGUGAACUAAAUAUCAAUGAAACAAACAAGAGCAUUCUGAACAAAAAAACAGCACAAAGCCCAGAUAAAAGGAGGCAACUACAAAACGCACUAGUAAAUGACUGUAGCUAAUCUCUGCGAUCUUCAGGGUUAGGCCACGUGUUUUCAUCAACAUUGCGUCUCAUAUCAUCCAAAGCAAUGCACCUGGGAUAAAACCGCUUGCUAUGUCGUAUCCAGUGGCGUGUCCAGAUCUUUUAAAAUGGGGUGGCCCAGAUGAGGCACAGCUUUGUGCAUGGGUGGCACCAAUGGUUAUGCUUUUUUUUUUGUUUUACCUCCAAGCCUUUUGUGGACAAUGAAAAGCCUAUUUAAAAGUAAAUUAGUGUGGUGGCACCUGGGGUGGCCAAUCGGAUUCCAAGGGUGGCAUGUGCUACCCCAGGCCACUCCCUGGACACGCCCCUGGUCGUAUCCACCCUUGGCAGUCAUCAACCAUGAUGUCCCUGCGGCCAGCAUCCAUAGCUUCCAGGAGGGACAUGUGGUCAUGUGGCUGAUGGUCAUAAACCUUCCACCUCCAUGCAGAAAAUAACUCCUCUAUGGGGUUGAGAAAAGUAAAUACACUAUAUCUGGACAUAUUGCAUUAUUUGCAACAACCAUUUCCACAAUGGCAAGCUCUUCCCUCAGAGGGUGGAAGACGUUGCAUUCUUUAGAGGCAAAAAUGCAUUACUGUAUGGUCUUAUUUAUACUUCAAGUGACUCAUACUCUUCCUCAUCCAGACAUCGCAGUGUUUGUUUUUUCUGUUUCCGUUUCCAAAUACUUGACACCUCAAAGUCCUCCUUUUAUUUUAGUGUCAAUGUAACAGAAAAAGAACACCUUCCACUGAGUCUAAGCCUGAAUGUAAUCCGCUGUGGUAGGCCCAGUUUACCCAACAUACAUCAGCUGUGUGUAAAUUACUCCGUUGUUUGUUUAUUAUCAACUGAGGUACAGUGAUCCCUCGCUACUUCGCGGUUCGUUUAUCGCAGAUUCACGACUUCGCGGAUUUUUUCUUUGGAGCCUUAUUCAAGGGAAAUUCGCCGAUUGGCGUUAUUUUUCACCGAUUCGCGGUAUUUUUCUAUGCGAAAUAUCAAGAAAUUCCUGGUUUUUUUUCAUCAAUUUCAUCAUAAAAUGCACUUUUUGUAAUAAAACUAUAAAAAACCAAGUAAAAUUUUUUUUCUUGAGUUUUACCCACAAAAAGAGAAUGUGAUCAUACGAUAAUUCAAUAUAGUACUGUACUGUAAAUAUGGUGUCCCUACUUCGCGGAUUUUCACCUAUAGCAGCCAGGUCUGGAACGCAUCUACUGCGAUAAACGAGGGAUCACUGUAUAUUGUUCUUGAACUCAUCAUUGCAGUAGCAGAGGUUUUUUUUAUACUGCAUCUAAGGUCAGGACUAUUAUUUUUGCUAUUGUGGGAUGUUGUGUGUUUUCAUUCGCAAAUACCACAAAAACAAUCCAUAGUUUUGUUGGGAGGAAUAGCUUCUCUGUUGAGACAAUGUAAACAUUAUGGAAAUCUGUUGACUGACUGCAUAUUGAGUGAAAACGACGUGAAAUGUGUGAAUUGUAUGGCCACAAAACGCCGAUGUUCUACUUGUAUUUAGAGUUUUGAAAAUGUGACAACUGGUUGGACAAAUGCUUGUUAGCGACUGAAAAGACCGUAACCUCUUUCGUUAGAAAAUCCAUAUUUUUCAGAAAAGGCACUUGAGCCAUUGCUCCGCCUUCUUCUCACAACUCUCCUGCAGUAAUGUAUUGUGCUGCUGCCUCUUGGCCAGAUCAUCACUGUAAAUUAAAAUGAGUUGUCAAUCGACUCAUCUGGUUAAAUAAAGGUUAAAUACAUGAAUAAGUAAGACGUCCAGACCAAAUGGUUUACUACUGUGAGGUUGUCUGUGUGUUUUAGUAGUGAUCACCAAGCUUUACUGCAAGGUUUUUGUGUGAAUCCUAUGCUGAGAUAAUGCAGAGCUCCACAUGAAUCUGGAACAACAAAACCCAGAGUCCUCUGAGGAUAAAUAAAACCAAUGCUGCCAUCGUGUGGGCGCACAGCAUCAGUUCACACCCAGUCUGGUGACCAGUACAUGAUUAUAGUACUCUGCUACACUUGCUAAAAAACAUUAAAGUUAUCAAUAUUGGCUCAGCCGAAGUUGCCACGUAUCCAUCUGACCGAAUUCGUUGCAAAAGUGCACUCUGGAACCAGCUUUCCAGAACAAUCCUGCCAAUCCCUUAACCACACAAGGCCUCCUCCUGCUUUACACCUUCACACACUCUGUGGGUUCCAGCAGAACAGUUAGACUAGUCUCAGCGUACUUUACCUUUACAUGGAUUGUUGAAAUGCAGCAUCCCAUUCUGACCGUACAUCCCUGUGAAGUCCUGACAGCGAGUCGGCCCAUGAGCCUGGUGGGCUCUCUCAGGCCUAGCCAGGCUGAGGCACGCAGGGAGGCGAGGCAGUGCUGCUGAAGGUGGAUGGUUCUGUUUCCUGUGGCCACUGGGCUGACUGUAAGGGCACACAGCACACAGGGAUAAUCCCCUAAUGCCUGUCACAAUGAGAUUUGAUUGGAGACUUGAACACCCAGAUUAAUAGUGAAAGCAGUUCCAACUCUCCUAACACGCUGCUAAUUGGGUUCUCUGCUGCUGAAAAACAGCAGACGCAAAUAUUUCCUGUAGGUUUAGCGAAUGAUGUUUAAGAUCAGGAACUGUUUGUCUGAUCUGAUCACCAAUCAACUCUGGUCUAAUGAACUGUCUGUGAUCCAUUAAAGUGUGGUUCAAAUAUGCAGGAAACAAAGAUAACCACUUACCUGUAGUUUAAUCAACAUUUACAGUACAGGCCAAAAGUCUGGACACACCUUCUCAUUCAAUAUGUUUUCUUUAUUUUCAUGAUUCUCACUGAAGGCAUCAAAACUAUGAAUGAACACAUGUGGAGUUGUGUACUUAACCAAAAAAGGUGAAAUAACCGAAAACAUGUUUUAUUUUCUAUUUUCUUCAAAAUAAAAAAUAAGCCACC